AUUGAACGCUGGCGGAAUGCUUUACACAUGCAAGCCGAACGGCAGCACGGGGGCAGCCCUGGUGGCGAGUGGCGAACGGGUGAGUAAUACAUCGGAACGUGCCCGGUCGUGGGGGAUAACGUAGCGAAAGUUACGCUAAUACCGCAUACGAUCUGAGGAUGAAAGCGGGGGACCUUCGGGCCUCGCGCGAUCGGAGCGGCCGAUGUCAGAUUAGGUAGUUGGUGGGGUAAAGGCCUACCAAGCCGACGAUCUGUAGCUGGUCUGAGAGGACGACCAGCCACACUGGGACUGAGACACGGCCCAGACUCCUACGGGAGGCAGCAGUGGGGAAUUUUGGACAAUGGGCGCAAGCCUGAUCCAGCCAUUCCGCGUGCAGGACGAAGGCCUUCGGGUUGUAAACUGCUUUUGUACGGAACGAAAAGGCUCUGGCUAAUACCUGGGGCUCAUGACGGUACCGUAAGAAUAAGCACCGGCUAACUACGUG
rnacentral:rRNA from 1 species